rnacentral:rRNA from 1 species
GACAGAGGGUGCAAACGUUGCUCGGAAUUACUGGGCGUAAAGGGCGUGUAGGCGGGAAGGCAAGUCGGGCGUGAAAGCCCCAGGCUCAACCUGGGAACUGCACUCGAAACUGCCUUUCUUGAGUGCCGGAGAGGAAAGCGGAAUUCCUGGUGUAGAGGUGAAAUUCGUAGAUAUCAGGAGGAACACCAGUGGCGAAGGCGGCUUUCUGGACGGUAACUGACGCUGGGACGCGAAAGCGUGGGGAGCAAACAGGG